rnacentral:lncRNA from 1 species
AAGAUUCAAGGAACUUAGCAACCCCAAUGAUCAAUGAGAAGAAUUAGUCUUCUCAAGAACUUCUCCCUUUUACAGUAAAAACUCUUUAAGAAGAGUAGACAAGGAGAUACAAAAUAAGCUCUAUAUACAAUACAAAGUUGUCUCUCAAAUGGCUCAACAAAAGCUCUAAAAAAUGAUGCAAAAAUAUUAUCAAUGUAUUCAAGAAUAUUGAGAGUAGUUGUUCAUAUCAAAUGAGAGUUUUUGGG